GACGAACGCUGGCGGCGUGCUUAACACAUGCAAGUCGAACGUAUGGCGAACGGGUGAGUAACGCGUAGGUAACUACCUAUUAGAGGGGGAUAACUAUUGGAAACGAUAGCUAAUACCGCAUACUAGUAGAUGGACCUGCGUUGUAUUAGCUAGUGGGUAGGGUAAUGGCCUACCUAGGCAACCAUACAUAGCCGAGCUGGGAGGGGGAGCGGGCCAACUGGGACCUGGGAACGGCCCAGAAUCCUGCGGGAGGGCAGAGUAGGGAAACUUUGGCAAUUGGGGGAAACCUGACCGCGGAACGCCGCGUGGGUGAAGAAGGGUUUCGGAGCUGAAAACUCUGUUGUUAAGGAAGCGUUACUUAACCAGAAAGGGACGGCUAACUACGUGCCAGCAGCCGCGGUAAUAC
rnacentral:rRNA from 1 species